CCUAUAUGAAGUCGGAAUUGCUAGUAAUCGCGGAUCAGCAUGCCGCGGUGAAUACGUUCCCGGGCCUUGUACACACCGCCCGUCACACCAUGAGAGUCGAUAACACCCGAAGCCUGUAGUCUAACAGCAAUGAGGACGCAGUCGAAGGUGGGAUUGAUAAUUAGGGUGAAGUCGUAACAAGGUAUC
rnacentral:rRNA from 1 species